GAACAUGCAAAAUCCACACAGGGGGGGCCUUGAUUUAAACCUCGGUCCUCAGAACUGUGAGACUAAUGCUCUAACCUGUCGCCCACGAUGCGAUUGUGCGAUUGUGUUAUUCUAAAGUAAAAAAUAUUCUUGAGUAAAUUUUUGUCUACUCUACCCACCUGUGCUGAUAAAAGGGGAUUCAGCAUCAAUGAUUGAAAUUACAGCAUUAAAGUAUAAAUAAACAUUGCUGUUACUUUUUUCAGUAAGGCAUAAUCCAAUUAAUUUUUCAAUCAUGAAAACAGUGUUACCAUUACAGCUACGAAAUCUGUUGCUUUGGUCUGAGUAUUACAAAUUGUUUUCAUUGGACUGGCAAGGCAGUUAUUUUUUACUUCUUUUUUAAAAUCUAAUGGGACGGGCACAUUUUAAUUUAUUAGACUUACAGUACAAAGAGUUGAAAGUACAUGAAGAGAAUGUAGAAUAUGUAAUUAUUUUCCUCGGACAUUCAUUACUUUAACAAAAGAGUAAAUAAAUACUUUUGGGGGAAAGUAUUUGGUAACAUAUCAUGCCAGGUUGGCACCUAGUCUAUACUGUAGUUAGUUGUAAUACCACCCCAUUCUGCUUUUGUCCAUAAAGAGGAGACUUGAGCAUUUUCUUGUUUUUACAUCCUAAUAUUAUUGGUGGCUUACAUAUUUUAUACUUGACAAUUACGAAUGUUAAAAUUCUGUGUAAAGCUUUAAAAACAAUCAAGGUUUUAUGGUUGCCACUGUUGAGAGUCACUGUUUGACCUUGAAUCAUCCAUCCAUCCAGCGUUUGUUCAUUCAUUCAUUCAUUCAAUCAUCCAUCCAUCCACCCAUCCACCCCAGCAUUAACUACUCUACAGUAGAAGCUGGCAUGCUUGAGGAGCUUAUGAUUUGGUGUGUGCUGUACGGUGGUCCAGGUGCUGUAUUGGAUUCUGCGCAAGAUUAACAUUCAGUUCUGAGGAUAAAGCUUCAAUCCUCCUAGAUCUGCUGCUGGAACUGGUCGGGCUUGCACAACAGCCACAGCACACACACACACAAGUGAGGGGAGUGCACACACCAACCGACAAUUUGUUUACAGUAUCUUUGUGUUCAGUCAACUUUACAAAACACAUAACACAGUUACAUAACGAUGUCGCUCCGUUUGAUCACUCUUCGCUCUUGGGCAUUUUUCCAAAUGUACCAAAUCCCUACUCUGAAUGCCACCUCCUCAGAAAAGCACAUUUCAUAACAGUGUGGGUUGCAAAAUCCUCAAGACAUUUGAGUUCUGUAAUUGCCACAAUGUGCUGCCUAAUCCUUAUUUCCCGGGAGUUCGUGAUAUAGUCAAUAUACGCAGUACUGCAGAAACGCCAACACGUGUGUUGCCUCCAGGUGACGUCGGUAACAUCAUUCCUUUGCCGUUUACAUUUAUAGGUACUUCCUCCAGCUAUAGACAUGAGAAGACAAUCGUCUUAAAAGCUUUUAAUAAUGUUCAGUUGAUUGACAUUGUCAGAGGAAUAUUUGUUCCAUAAUGUUUGGUAUUAUGGUUUGUAGUUGUAUAGAAAACCAUGGGGCUACCUGUAGAUUGGCAGACUGAGAUGGUGGUCCCACAUUUCAAGAAGGUGGGCCAAAAUUAAUGUUACAACCCUGGGGAGAUUGUAGUCCUGGGUGGGUUCUAAUAUAAAAUAUUAACCCCCCUUGGUUUCAAUGAAGGUUGGACUGGAUCAAUGAAUAGGCUAUCUACUGUAUUUUACAAUGUCAAUCAUAGUUGAUUGAGUGUUGAAUAUAAGCAUUGAACGUUUUUUUCUCCUCCCCUUUAUAGGUCGACUCGGGGGAAAAAAAGGCCACAAGCGAGAGAGAUGGAAGAUUGAGACUGCACCCUAAUAAAUUCCCCCAUCUUUAUUCUUUGAUGUCUCCAUAAUCCCUCACAUGCAUUUUCUAUAUUUGGCAUUGAAGCCGCUAAAGCUAAUCUCUCAGACUUUCCACCGGAACAAAACUGCCUGAAUUGGUGCUCAUCUGACUCAAAUAAGUGGCCAAGUGAGCGCCUCGGCUGAUGAAUCGAGAGCAGUUGUUUCACUUUCCUCUGAUUCCCUCGGGGGCAAACGUGGCCGGGUUUAAUGAGAGUGUGUGUGCAAGUUUGAUGGUGUGUAACAGAGGAGCCGCUUAUGUGUUUUAGAUUUAUGCACGAGUGUCUCAGCUGGCAGAAAGAACGGCAGGUCCUCAUCGGCCACAUCUUGGCAGAGUCAGAGCUUUGUGCAAUCCCUGCAUGCAAAUGAUAUACCAUCACUCCCAAAUUUCACAGAACACCUCAUGAGGUGCAAAUGCACAGGCCAAUUAGGUCCAACACAAAAAUAGUAUCAUAUCCAUCCAACCAUUUUCUUUGCCACUUUGCCUCAUUUGGGUCACAGGUGUGGUGGAGCCUUUGGGCAAAAGGUAGCAUAUGCCUAGGAUUGAUAGACAAAUCAAAUCGUUCAUUUACAUUCACAACUAUGGACAAAUUCGAGUCCUCAAUGUAUCUAAUACAGAAACGUGGGAGGAAGUCGGAAUACACAGAAACCUUUUUCAACCCCAAAAAGCAGCUGCAAAUGGAAAAGAUUAGUUUUCAUCGUUCAUUGAUGACCGCCAUAAGCCGCUUGGAUGCUUCCCACAAUGUUGGAUGCCCACGACCACCCCCUGUCCGGCUUUACUGCUACAUCAUGCCACUUCAGCAUAACCAAACCAAAAAUCUGUUUGCUCACCCACCCUCGGAUGUACUCUGAGUUAUCUGCACUGAACGGACACGAUCCAACUCCCCGUAGGGCAUGAGCCGACCCACACUUUGCUCCAUUUCUGCCCGGGCUCGAAUGCUUCCUGCUGGGUCACAAAUGGGUGGCGGCUGCUUCAAAGGCUGGAGGGCAGAUAGAAAUGGCUGCAGUGGCCUCGGGAUUAUCACUCAUUGUCUGAUUUACUCCCCCAUUACAAGAAUUGCGUGCAUAUAUGCGGGUGUUCAGAGUACAGUAUAAAGUCAACAAAGACUAGUUGUUCCCUGAUGAUUUGCUACAAACUCUUGGCAAGUCCCUGUCACUCUUCUUCACAAAAGACUAAUGGAAUCCAUUGUCACGACACAGACGAGGAGGCCGAAAGCCCCUCCAGCUUGUACGACAAGCUUGUACUGCAUUGAUCUUCCAUUUUCUGUACCUUUAAUCCUCACUAGGGUCCCAUUUUACUUUGAGCAAGAAGCCGAGUACACCCUGGAUUGGUCGCCAGUCAAUCACAGGGGAAUUCUGUGCCUCAUUUCUAUGGAAACGGUCUCUAAAGCAGCCAUGCAAGAGGAGACGCUGAGCUGGUGGAAAAGCCUUUUUUGUGUUGACACACCAGAUUGGUCUCAAGGGGAUAGAAAGAGCUGGGAGGCUCGAAAAGUCCUUUCAUUCUCGGGCCACUGUAUAGAUCGCAAAUGGAUGGUUCUGGUUGUGUUAGAAGAGCUUUCACCUCUCAAGAGCUAGAUCACAAGAACUUGGAUUAAAGUGUUUAAACUAUUAAGGAAGUCUAUAGUUCAUACACACUGGUCCAAUAAAAUUAAACAGGUCAAUAGGUUUUAUAAUUGAUAUUUUGUUUAUCUGCAAAACAUUUGUCUUAACUUGCUAUAACUGUUUUGUCACAAUACAAACAAGUGAUUAAUUACUCUUUUCCCCUGUGGAUUGCGUUAAAAAUAAAGAUACCUAAACCUUCAAAACAAGACAUUGCUGGAUGCUGGUGACAUGACAAAAUUAUUCACCCUUUGGUGAGGCCUGAAAAGUGUAGUGGGAGGCUAUCUGAAGGCAAGUUGACUAUGCAGUUCCACCCCCCCCCCACAUUCUUCAAAUGUAAAAUUAAAUGAACCGUGGGCUAUCCAAACUUCAAAACAACUAGUUGCUUGCUCACUAUUAACUCUGACAUGUAAUGGAAACAGAUUAAUGAUUAAAAACAUGGGGAGGUGGACGAGGAUGUGUGCCUGGGAAGUGAGUUUCUUCACAUUAAGAUUUAACACAGUUGACUUUGCGUAUAUCCAUCAUCCAUCCAUUUUCCAAUCUGUUUAUCCUCAUGAGGGUCGCGGGAGAGCUGGAGCCUAUCCCAACUGUCAACACGCAGGAGGCAGGGUUCACCCGAAACUGGUUGCCCGCCAAUCGCAGGGCACAUGGAGACAA